UUGCUCUAGUUUCUCUUCAUUCUUCGCAUAAAUCUUUCGCCUUUUACUAAAGAUUUCCGUGGAGGGGAAUACUGAAGAGUGUAUAAGGAAUUUUUUGGUAACCCAGUCAAUGCUGGGUU